rnacentral:piRNA from 1 species
CAUUAUGAUAUGGACAUGAACCUUUUAGGG